rnacentral:rRNA from 1 species
GGGGGGUACGGUGCUCGGAAUAUUGCGGCGUAAGGGCUCGCAGGCGGUUUCUUAAGUCUGAUGUGAAAGCCCCCGGCUCAACCGGGGAGGGUCAUUGGAAACUGGGGAACUUGAGUGCAGAAGAGGAGAGUGGAAUUCCACGUGUAGCGGUGAAAUGCGUAGAGAUGUGGAGGAACACCAGUGGCGAAGGCGACUCUCUGGUCUGUAACUGACGCUGAGGAGCGAAAGCGUGGGGAGCGAACAGGAUUAGAUACCCUGGUAGUCCACGCCGUAAACGAUGAGUGCUAAGUGUUAGGGGGUUUCCGCCCCUUAGUGCUGCAGCUAACGCAUUAAGCACUCCGCCUGGGGAGUACGGUCGCAAGACUGAAACUCAAAGGAAUUGACGGGGGCCCGCACAAGCGGUGGAGCAUGUGGUUUAAUUCGAAGCAACGCGAAGAACCUUACCAGGUCUUGACAUCCUCUGACAAUCCUAGAGAUAGGACGUCCCCUUCGGGGGCAGAGUGACAGGUGGUGCAUGGUUGUCGUCAGCUCGUGUCGUGAGAUGUUGGGUUAAGUCCCGCAACGAGCGCAACCCUUGAUCUUAGUUGCCAGCAUUCAGUUGGGCACUCUAAGGUGACUGCCGGUGACAAACCGGAGGAAGGUGGGGAUGACGUCAAAUCAUCAUGCCCCUUAUGACCUGGGCUACACACGUGCUACAAUGGACAGAACAAAGGGCAGCGAAACCGCGAGGUUAAGCCAAUCCCACAAAUCUGUUCUCAGUUCGGAUCGCAGUCUGCAACUCGACUGCGUGAAGCUGGAAUCGCUAGUAAUCGCGGAUCAGCAUGCCCGGUGGAAUAACGUUUCCCGGGGCCUUGUACACACCGGCCCGUCACACCACGAAGAGUUUGUAACACCCGAAGUCCGGUGAGGUAACCUUUUUAGGAGCCAGCCGCCCGAAGGUGGGACAGAUGAUUGGGGUGAACUAACACCGAAACCCCCCUCACAUAUAUAUAUAAAAAAAAAAAGGGGCGGG